AGCCGGGGCGCCGUACGUGUCACGCCACAGGAUUUAAAAGCGACCCGAUCCACACGAGUUAUCAGAAAUAACACAACGAAGAAAUGCUCAGUCACCGUCUGCCAAACGCGUUGGCAAGGCGACUCCUAGAAACAGAUUGUUCUGCGUGGCUGCGGUCGGGGCCGGGCGCUGCAGAGAUGGAUCAGUGUGGGUUUCUUGGAUAAAUGAGCUCCGGCUGUCACCUUCUCCAAACCCCUCUCCUCGCCGCUGCAUGUGAGGGACGCUCUCACCUCGAGGUGCAGCACGUCUUCUGGUUGAUGUUGCAGCACGAAGGUCAGAGACCAAUCGGGUUAUUUUGAUCCUUUGCCUCCACGUCGUCGUGCUUUCUCUGCAGCUUUGAGUCAACGAUGCUGAGAAGAAGUGGACAAAUAUGUGAGAGAGGCUCGGGGGGAGGAAGGAAACCAUUACGCGCGGGGUGAGCCGGGGCCUGGAGACGCAGCUGCCAGCCCUGCCCCGUCAGGGGGAGGAAGAGGAUCUGGAUCCGGCGCUGGUCGGGGGGGAGAAACCCGAGAUCUCGAGAAAACGUCUGGGAACGACCCAAGAAAAACUUCCGCUGCCUCCUCCACCAUCUCGUCCCGUCCGAAAGAGUUUCCCAUAAUGGUCCCAGUCUGCAGAGGUUUCCCCCAAAGGCCCCCGCAGACUCCGAGCAUGAACACGCAGAAAGCACCGGUGGGAACCGACACACACACACACACACACAUCUACACAUCCAGUUCUUAGGUUAAACCACAUAUAAGAUUAUGAAUGAAGCGGCGACCUUUGACCUCCUCGGUGUCUCUGUGUUGGCUGCGCAGACACCUAUACGAGGAGGAUGGAAACCAGGCCCAGCUGGCGGCUUCACAUAUCUGUGUGGGUCGGGCCGGGGAAAUUCCAGCAUUCCUAUUGUUCCCAUUUCAUCUGGACGGAGACUUGGACCACAAGGGAGGGAGCUCACGCCUUUUAUCCGAAGCAAUGGGACCAUGUACAGUUAAAACAUACAUGUCACCAUGCACCAGAUUGACAGACCAUAAUAAACAUAAAACAACAACAAAGAGGAGAGACACAAUACAGCAGUUUAAGUGGUAAAAAGAACACUAAAUACACACAAUUGCUGCAGUUCUACAGUUUCUUAUAUAUUUUAAAAGGAAUCUUCUAUCUGCUCCAUGGGGGUCUUCUGCAUCCUUCUGGUUGAAAUAUAAUAAUUAAAAAAACGGAAAUGAGUCUGAAAUAAACUAACAGUUGCGCCUU